CUUAUAUUCUGUAGCAAGGUUAACCGUAUAGGGGAGCCGAAGGGAAACCGAGUCUUAACCGGGCGUUAAGUUGCAGGGUAUAGACCCGAAACCCGGUGAUCUAGCCAUGGGCAGGUUGAAGGUUGGGUAACACUAACUGGAGGACCGAACCGACUAAUGUUGAAAAAUUAGCGGAUGACUUGUGGCUGGGGGUGAAAGGCCAAUCAAACCGGGAGAUAGCUGGUUCUCCCCGAAAGCUAUUUAGGUAGCGCCUCGUGAACUCAUCUUCGGGGGUAGAGCACUGUUUCGGCUAGGGGGUCAUCCCGACUUACCAACCCGAUGCAAACUGCGAAUACCGAAGAAUGUUAUCACGGGAGACACACGGCGGGUGCUAACGUCCGUCGUGAAGAGGGAAACAACCCAGACCGCCAGCUAAGGUCCCAAAGUCACAGUUAAGUGGGAAACGAUGUGGGAAGGCUCAGACAGCCAGGAUGUUGGCUUAGAAGCAGCCAUCAUUUAAAGAAAGCGUAAUAGCUCACUGGUCGAGUCGGCCUGCGCGGAAGAUGUAACGGGGCUAAACUGUGCACCGAAGCUGCGGCAGCGACGCUUAUGCGUUGUUGGGUAGGGGAGCGUUCUGUAAGCCUGCGAAGGUGUCCUGUGAGGGAUGCUGGAGGUAUCAGAAGUGCGAAUGCUGACAUAAGUAACGAUAA
rnacentral:rRNA from 1 species